rnacentral:lncRNA from 1 species
AAUAAAUUCAUCAACAGUCGUCAGUCUUGUUUGAAACAGAUAACAGAGUUUUGAAAACUUGCAUAAUAAUUAUGUACAUGACUAUUAUUUUAUAAACCACUAUAAUUUUAAUUCGUGUUUUUACUGUUGGUUAUGGUAUUAGUUAUAAAAUGAAGUAGCAAUAAUGUAGCAUACCUAAUAAAAAAAUCUUUAUUAUAACAAGAAAGAAACUGACUUAUAUGUUGAUAACAAUAGCAAUUGCUUUCCUGCGUAUCAUCAUUACUACUGCCUAUAUCGUACCUAUAUUUUGAGUUUUCUGUGGAGAACGAAUGGCUCAAGUUAAUAAAGCUAAUGAAAUAUCAAAAACCUACCAAAAAUAAAAAUGCCAUUUAUGUCUGCCUGUCACCACAUAGAAAGCUUUCCGAAAGACACAAUUCCUUGGUGAACCUAUUGUACUGCAUCAUAAAAGCGGAAGAAGGAGGUGAAAUCAACUUGCCGACUGUUUAGCUGUGGUAAAAGCUAUCAAAUCCAUGAAUCCAGGAACCUAUUCAAUUCUCAAGAACAUUUCUGUCAUAAUGUGGUCGGACCCGUUCACCAAGGAAGUUCGCAGACAAAUUCUGACAUUUUACAACAUUCUACAGUCACAUAGAAGACUGGCUUAUGAUGGCGAAAGACUUUUGAAGGCGGUUACCUUGAUUGGGAUCAUAUCUAUUAAACCUUCGAAUCCUGCACUCAAAAGUAAAUGUGAUACCAUUCAAAUGGAAUAAGAUUGAUUUGAAUUGGAAUUUGUUAUUCCUGUAUCAUAGUGCAUUUUUCUACUAGUUACCCUACGUAUUGUACAUUAUUGUAAUAAAGCACUAGCUGUUCCAUAGUAGAAGUCUUUGAAAUAAAAGGUUUCUUUUUCAAGUUA